GUCUGCACAUCUGGUCUUGUUGUAACAUUCUGGGCUUUGGGCCCUCGGUCCCGUAUCCCGCUUACUUGUGGAGCUGGUGGUGCCCGUGACCCCUUCCAGAAGACCCAGGAGGGGCCAGCCCUGCUCGGAGGGGGCCCGCGGGGCAGUGCGCUCCCGGUCACAGGUCCCCUGAGCCGGACGCUCGCACCCCUCGCUGGCCCAGCCUGCAGAGGCCCCUCGAAGCCCGUGCGUGCAGUGGUGCUGAAGACGGUCCCAUCCCCCGGCCAAGGGCACACGCCCCUCCCGGCCACUCUAGUCUCCGAGAUGACCUCGGUGAGGGAUCUGCAAGGCUGGGGCCUUCCUGCAGGAAGUGAGUUCUAGGGAACCCUAGCUGGGGAAGCCCAGCGCCCCUCCCAGACCUCGCCCCGGCCACCACCUCGGAGCCAGGCCCCGGCGGGACACCAGGGCCGCGGGGCCGCCUGGCAAGGGUUCAGGGCCCGUGCUGCCCCCGCCCCCGGCCGUCCGCCUCAAACAGGGCCUGGGAAGCUGCUUGCCGCCAGGGUGUCGGGCCACACUCCCAGCCCAGCCCUCCCCACCCCCAGCCGUGUCCCCGCGUGGCAUCUCCGUGCCCCUCCGCUCUGCCGCAGCACACACACCAGGCGCCCCCCGCCUCCGGGCGAUGCCAGCCUCCACCUGGACGGCCGUGCCGUGGCUACAACGCUCCCGGCCCGGGGGACCCGACAGACCUUGGGUUUCGGCCUCCCUGUGGGGCCGGCAGCCAGCGCCUGGGCUCUGACAGCACCUGUCAGGCUCGGAGGCCGCACAGUCGGCUCCCGAGACCUCGAGCUAAAAAUACGCUCGCUGAGGUCCUAACAGAGCAGACAGCCUGCGCUGCACGCCCUCCCGCCGGCCCACGGAUCCACGGCCGAACAGCCGCUCCGAGCGCUUUCUCUGCGGCCUUUCCUAUGCACCUUUCCUGGAUGGCACAACGUUGCUAAGAACAGUGGCGACGGCUGUUCAAAGGAGCGCUUGCCAGAGGCCACCAUUAAGACACGCUGGGGGACUUUGCAAAAGGGACAGACUUGCCAAGUCGCUGCCUACACCUGAAGCCAACGUGACACUGUGUGUCCUCUACCCUUCGGCUCAACAAAAGGUCUGAUAGACGACACAGGCUUUUAAAAAAAUCUUCCCGUGUACUCUGAAAUAAUCUCUUCUAGAUUAGAAUUAUUUCUUAAUACUUUCUUAAAUGCCGGGGAAAAGCUUUGAAUGGUUUUAUCUCCUGAUUCAAUUUAACUUACGUGUA